ensembl:snoRNA
CGCAUCUUUUUGCCGGACCUGGAGCGGUUAUUGUCUGCUGCUAAGGUUUCUACUGCAGAUGCAAGAAAAAAGAUCUCUGUGCUUUCUGUCUGUGAUUGUGGCAGCCGAGGCUGAAUGGGGUAUACAGAG